rnacentral:rRNA from 1 species
GUGGGGAAUAUUGGCAAUGGGCGAAAGCCUGACCCAGCAACGCCGCGUGAAGGAAGAAGGUUUUCGGAUCGUAAACUUCUAUCCUUGGUGAAGAUAAUGACGGUAGCCAAGAAGGAAGCCCCGGCUAACUACGUGCCAGCAGCCGCGGUAAUACGUAGGGGGCAAGCGUUGUCCGGAAUGAUUGGGCGUAAAGGGCGCGUAGGCGGCCUGGUAAGUCUGGAGUGAAAGUCCUGCUUUUAAGGUGGGAAUUGCUUUGGAUACUGUCGGGCUUGAGUGCAGGAGAGGUAAGUGGAAUUCCCGGUGUAGCGGUGAAAUGCGUAGAGAUCGGGAGGAACACCAGUGGCGAAGGCGACUUACUGGACUGUAACUGACGCUGAGGCGCGAAAGUGUGGGGAGCAAACAGGAUUAGAAACCCUAGUAGUCC